rnacentral:rRNA from 1 species
AUGAUCCUGUGUGCGCGUAGGAAAUUUUUUGAAAUUACUACGAAACCCAACAGGGAUGACCCCUGGAUUCCCUCGAGCCCGUCAAGGAAAGUCAUUACCCCUAGAGCGGGUGUCUUAAUUACAAAGGUCAAUGAGCUGAUAGAUCCUAUUACUGAAAAGUGGGACGAAGAAAUCCUCCAUGAUAUUUUUAGCCCAAUAGAUGUUGAACGCAUUCUCCAAAUUCCGUUAAGCUACAACUCAUUUGAUGAUUUUGUAGCGUGGCAUGGUACACGAUCAGGACAUUUUUCUGUUAAAACGGCAUGCCAUUUGGAGUGGAAACAUCAAUUUCAGUAUACUGUAAUGCCGCAGGCUGGGCCAUUAUCGGAGAACCCAAUAUGGUUGAUUUUAUGGAAAAUGCAAACUCCAGGCAAGGUCAAAAUUUUCUGCUGGCGAGCGCUUCAUGGUAUCCUACCACUCAAGUCUAUACUUGCUAAUAGACAUGUUGGGAGUAUUGGCCAAUGCCCAAUCUGUAUGCAAGGAGCUGAGUAUGUCAAUCACUUGCUAUUUCAGUGUGGCCGUGCUAUAGAGAUGUGGCGCUUACUCGGACUAUCGGAGCUUAUCUCAAAUGCAACGUUGGUUGAUAGAUCGGGUUCAGCAGUGUUAGAACACUUGCUAUGUUUGCCUCACAAUAAUAUGCCUAAUUUACCUUCUGUUGGUCUUAAGGAGGGCAUUGCUGUAUCUUGCUGGUACAUGUGGUGGCUGAGAAGGCAGCAAACUCACCAGAAUCAACGUCCCCCAAGUAACAGAAGCUCUUUAGCUAUACAAGCGAUCUGCCUAAAUUUUCAGAGAGCAAAAACCUUCAGUUCAGGAGCAAUAAAACGAGUUGGAUUAACAUGGAAGAGACCAACUGGUGGUUUAGUUAAAGUGAACGUGGAUGCAUCUUUCCAUAAUGAGGAUAAUAGAGGAGAGACUGGAGUAAUUAUACGAGAUGACCAUGGAGUGUUUCUGGCCGCGUCAUGUUCCCCUAUACCAUACAUUAGUGAUGCAUGCUCGGCUGAAGUAUUGGCGAUGUACCAUGGACUACUACUUGCAAAUGACAUGGGCUAUCAUUCAAUUCAGAUUGAAUCCGACUCGACAGAGGUCAUCAAUGCAUUUGUAGGACAUGACAGGAUAUGGAGCAAAACAUCGGAUAUCUAUGCAGAUUGUUUUAUCCUUGCUGGCAUGAUAGGAUCUGUAGAAUUUAUGCAUUGUGUUCGUGAAACUAAUGAGGUAGCCAGCAAAAUAUGCUUAUGA